CCUGCACUUUCAUUCAUUACGCGUGAUACUUGUUUGAGCGUGCAUCACCAUCACCACCAGGCGGAUUCAUUCCAUCACUCCAAAGACAAAUAGCGAGGCUUUUACAAUUGACUUGUCCACGCAUGCUCACAAGCAGUCUUUUUCCACACGCUGAUCAACAGUUUGCCAGUUUUAAAGCGUCUUCUUCACUCCACUCUCACUGUGUGUGUGGUCAGAGCUCACAACGCGUCGUUGUCUAGGGCAUGAAUGAGGCUGGAGGGUCAUGCAUUAACACACAACCAACAGGGAGAUAUGCUGCGCUGCCUCUACUCCUAGAAAUCGAGUAGCUCGGUGUAUUGCACAAAUCCGACGCUGGCAUUGCAGUUUAAUUUGUAAACGAACAAAGGUGUUCUUUAAGUUCCGUUUUAUAUUAUAGCCACCAGUUGAUUCGUCUCUUUGUGCAUAGAACAAAAUGGGGUGUUCCUCUUCCAGCUCUCAGACCGUAGACCAAGAAAAAAGACCAGGCACCAAACCCGAAGAAAGUAAUGGAGACACAACUUUCGCUACCCGUAAUGGAAUCAUUGCAGAGGACACAGAGACCAUUGCGGAUCAGAUGCAGCUGCCAGUUCAAAGCGCACUACCGGAUGAGCUGCAGCCUGGGGCCAUGGAGGAGCCGGUGUCCCAGGCCUAUGAAGCCACAGAGCUUAUGGUGGUGGAGGAGGCAGCCCCUGCUGCUCCCGCAGAACCAGAGCCCGUGACUGAGCCUGAGCCUCCUGUCGAACCCGCCGCCAUUGAAAGCCCUGAUACUGGGGCUGUGGCUGCUGAGACUGUAGAGGCUGAGGUGGCUGUGGAGGCUGUGGAGGCAGCUGCUCCUGCUGAGGCUCAGGCUGCCGUUGAGAUAACUGAGGUAGCGGAGGCAGCGGCUCCAGUAGAAGCUGCAGCCCCUGUAGAGGAUGUAGCACCUGUAGAAACGGUGCCAGCUGAGGAAGCUGCCAUAGCAGUGGCAGAAAUCGUAGCCCCUGUUGCGGAGGCUGCCCCUGUUGCUGAGGCUGCCCCUGUCGCUGAAGCUGCCCCUGUCGCUGAGGCUGCCCCUGUCGCUGAGGCUGCCCCUGUCGUUGAGGCUGCCCCUGUCGUUGAGGCUGCCCCUGUCGUUGAGGCUGCCCCUGUCGUUGAGGCUGCCCCUGUCGUUGAGGCUGCCCCUGUCGUUGAGGCUGCCCCUGUCGCUGAGGCUGCUGCUCCUACUGAAACAGUGGCCGCUCCCGCUGCUCCAGAAGAACCCGCGGCCCCUGUCGAAGUAGCAGCACCUGCAGAACCUGUGGCUGCACCCACUCCAGUUGCUGCGGAGGAGACCAAAGAACCAGCCCCAGAACCGGUUGCUGCAUCUGAGGAGGCCCCUGCGGCAGCCCCUGUAGCUGAAGCCAGUGUCCCAGAGCCAGUCAAAGUAGAGGAGACCCCAGUGGAGUGUGUCACUCUCUUCCGUAGACCCUGUUGUCUUUCACAACAGGCUCUCUCAGACAUGUGCACACACACACACACACACAUACACACACAUAUGUAGACACACAUACACACACUCCAUGUCUUUCUCUCUUUGUGCCCAGCCAAGGACCACAGUAAACUUAUGCACUAUUGCCUCAGAUUACAUAAGAUGUGUGUGUUAUCCACUGCUCAGCAGCUUCUAUGCAAAUUAACCUUGUCCCCCUCUGCGUGGUUGGGACGGGGUGGGAAAUAAUCAAGCCUAUUGUGACCCAACAAGCUGCAAUACUUAUAGCUGUGCCAAGAAAACGUAUAAGCACACACAUGUGGAGCACACAUUUUCCUGAGAUCAGAACCCCAUAGAGUUGUCCACCGAGACAGUAAAAUAGAACUAUGGAUAAAUAUACAUUUAUUCAAACCGUUGUUCAUGAUAAUGUCUAUCCCAUAAUAUUACCUCUACUAACACCCCCUAUAAUGACCCAUUGAGGAGGGAGACCCCCCUAAACGCCCUCAAGCAUGCGCGGCCUGCUUUACAAUCAGGACUUUCCAGUUCCAGUGAGUUGGAAGUGUGAUCAUGUUCCUGUAUCACUUGGCAAGGUACCUCCCAUGAGGUGAAGGCAAAGAGAACAGUUUUCUAUUUUCAUACAGGCCCAAGGGGAAAAUACCCAAUUACACUGAAACAUCCACCCACUCUGGGCUCCAACUUGGAACUCCACUGGAAAGUGAUGAAGCAGGGUUAUUAAAAACAGUUCCUGUAGACUGUAUUCCUUGUGUAUGUACAUGAUGUAACACUGUUAUUGUUCACCAUUGACUUCUAAUUUUCAUAAAACAGAAUUAAAUUAAAUACUCCAUAGUACUGACAAAUACUGAUAAAAGUCAGAGUGCCUUAAAGUAGCAGCAUAUUGAUUUAAACUGGUGGUCAACAGCCCUUCACAAACAUUGAAAGAACAUACUGUACUUUUGGGCAGAGAGGCCUCUCCAGCCGGCACGUGCAGAAGGGGGCGUUGCAUAACGCCACAACUCACUCUCCCUAACGCAUAGACUGUGUAGGAGCUGUGUCCCUCCCAGGCAGCCAAGGGCUGGGGGUGUUUGCAUAUGUCUUAAGAAGAGAUCCAGGGACUGAGUUCACCAAACCAGCUCAACUGAAACAAGUUGUUCCCGUACAUCAGGAACUGCUUAUUGUUCUAUUUGAGGACUAUCUGUGUGCAGCUACUUGUCUCACUGAUCAGCUGCCCCUGUGUUAUAUUCAGCAUGCCACCCCCCACCUUCUGCCUCCUGUCAGGCUAAUGGAAUGUCUCACAUGUAACCCCUCAUGGGAAUGCCAGCGACUGACUUCCUGUCUGUUGGUUCUGUUUCUAGGGGGCGUGGUGGAGCCUGUGGUCUCGCAAGAGACAGGAAGUGAGGUGGCCAAAGUGGACGAGCCAGCAGAAAUCCCCAAGACUGAAGAGACCCCUGGUGAGAGAAGCCUCUAGCAUAACUCACUGCAAUGACCCCCUAACUCCUUUAGCCUGAGAGGGGGCUGUGUCACUUUUACAGAGCAUAAUUUAAACACAACUGAUACUGUUCAAACAUUUCGUGUGCCCUUUUCAGGUGAUUCACAUCAAUCUUAUUUUUAUUGUCUUUCAGCUGCCAGUGCAGAGAAGUAGAGGAGACUACAGUAAACAUGGUUGACGUGUCGCCCAAAGAAUAAAUGAAUACGUUUACACA
rnacentral:lncRNA from 1 species